rnacentral:tRNA from 2 species
CCGACCAUAGCUCAGUUGGAAGAGCACAAGACUGUAAAGGAUAACUGAAAUCUUGGGGUCGCCUGUUCGAACCAGGCUGGUCGGA